rnacentral:rRNA from 1 species
UCCUACGGGAGGCAGCAGUAGGGAAUCUUCGGCAAUGGACGAAAGUCUGACCGAGCAACGCCGCGUGAGUGAGGAAGGUUUUCGGAUCGUAAAACUCUGUUGGUAGAGAAGAACGUUGGUGAGAGUGGAAAGCUCAUCAAGUGGCGGUAACUACCCAGAAAGGGACGGCUAACUACGUGCCAGCAGCCGCGGUAAUACGUGGGUCCCGCGCGUUGUCCGGAUUUUUUGGGCGUAAAGAGGGCGCAGGGGGGUUAUUAAGUCUG